rnacentral:rRNA from 1 species
AACGAACGCUGGCGGCAUGCCUAACACAUGCAAGUCGAACGAGACCUUCGGGUCUAGUGGCGCACGGGUGCGUAACGCGUGGGAACCUGCCCUUAGGUUCGGAAUAACUCCCCGAAAGGGGUGCUAAUACCGGAUAAUGUCUUCGGACCAAAGAUUUAUCGCCUUUGGAUGGGCCCGCGUUGGAUUAGCUAGUUGGUAGGGUAAAAGCCUACCAAGGCGACGAUCCAUAGCUGGUCUGAGAGGAUGAUCAGCCACACUGGGACUGAGACACGGCCCAGACUCUUACGGGAGGAAGCAGUGGGGAAUAUUGGACAAUGGGCGAAAGCCUGAUCCAGCAAUGCCGCGUGAGUGAUGAAGGCCUUAGGGUUGUAAAGCUCUUUUAACCGGGAUGAUAAUGACAGUACCGGGAGAAUAAGCGCCGGCUAACUCCGUG